rnacentral:rRNA from 1 species
UAGGGAAUCUUCGGCAAUGGGGGGAACCCUGACCGAGCAACGCCGCGUGAGUGAAGAAGGUUUUCGGAUCGUAAAGCUCUGUUGUUAAGGAAGAACGAGUGUGAGAAUGGAAAGUUCAUGCUGUGACGGUACUUAACCAGAAAGGGACGGCUAACUACGUGCCAGCAGCCGCGGUAAUACGUAGGUCCCGAGCGUUGUCCGGAUUUAUUGGACGUAAAGCGAGCGCAGGCGGUUAGAAAAGUCUGAAGUGAAAGGCAGUGGCUCAACCAUUGUAGGCUUUGGAAACUGUUUAACUUGAGUGCAGAAGGGGAGAGUGGAAUUCCAUUGUUAGCGGUGAAGUGCGUAGAUAUAUGGAGGAACACCGGUGGCGAAAGCGGCUUUCUGGUCUGUACCUGACGCUGGGGCUCGAAAGCGUGGGGAGCGAACAGG